GCCUACGGGAGGCAGCAGUGGGGAAUAUUGCGCAAUGGGCGAAAGCCUGACGCAGCGACGCCGCGUGAGGGAUGAAGGUCUUCGGAUCGUAAACCUCUGUCAGCAGGGAAGAACGGUCACUGUGCUAAUCAGCAGUGAAUUGACGGUACCUGCAAAGGAAGCACCGGCUAACUCCGUGCCAGCAGCCGCGGUAAUACGGAGGGUGCGGCCGUUAAUCGGAAUUACUGGGCGUAAAGUGCUCGUAGGCGGUAUGUCAAGUCAAGGGUGAAAUCCCCGCGCUCAACGUGGGAACUGCUUGUGAAACU
rnacentral:rRNA from 1 species